GGUUAAGCGACUAAGCGUACACGGUGGAUGCCCUGGCAGUCAGAGGCGAUGAAGGACGUGCUAAUCUGCGAAAAGCGUCGGUAAGGUGAUAUGAACCGUUACAGCCGGCGAUGUCCGAAUGGGGAAACCCAGUGCAAUUCGUUGCACUAUCGUUAACUGAAUACAUAGGUUAACGAGGCGAACCGGGGGAACUGAAACAUCUAAGUACCCCGAGGAAAAGAAAUCAACCGAGAUUCCCCCAGUAGCGGCGAGCGAACGGGGAGCAGCCCAGAGUCUGAAUCAGCUUGUGUGUUAGUGGAACGGUCUGGAAAGUCCGACGGUACAGGGUGAUAGUCCCGUACACCAAAAUGCACAGGCUGUGAACUCGAAGAGUAGGGCGGGACACGUGGUAUCCUGUCUGAAUAUGGGGGGACCAUCCUCCAAGGCUAAAUACUCCUGACUGACCGAUAGUGAACCAGUACCGUGAGGGAAAGGCGAAAAGAACCCCGGCGAGGGGAGUGAAAAAGAACCUGAAACCGUGUACGUACAAGCAGUGGGAGCACCUUCGGGUGUGACUGCGUACCUUUUGUAUAAUGGGUCAGCGACUUAUAUUCUGUAGCAAGGUUAACCGUAUAGGGGAGCCGCAGGGAAACCGAGUCUUAACUGGGCGUUAAGUUGCAGGGUAUAGACCCGAAACCCGGUGAUCUAGCCAUGGGCAGGUUGAAGGUUGGGUAACACUAACUGGAGGACCGAACCGACUAAUGUUGAAAAAUUAGCGGAUGACUUGUGGCUGGGGGUGAAAGGCCAAUCAAACCGGGAGAUAGCUGGUUCUCCCCGAAAGCUAUUUAGGUAGCGCCUCGUGAACUCAUCUUCGGGGGUAGAGCACUGUUUCGGCUAGGGGGUCAUCCCGACUUACCAACCCGAUGCAAACUACGAAUACCGAAGAAUGUUAUCACGGGAGACACACGGCGGGUGCUAACGUCCGUCGUGAAGAGGGAAACAACCCAGACCGCCAGCUAAGGUCCCAAAGUCAUGGUUAAGUGGGAAACGAUGUGGGAAGGCACAGACAGCCAGGAUGUUGGCUUAGAAGCAGCCAUCAUUUAAAGAAAGCGUAAUAGCUCACUGGUCGAGUCGGCCUGCGCGGAAGAUGUAACGGGGCUAAACCAUGCACCGAAGCUGCGGCAGCGACACUAUGUGUUGUUGGGUAGGGGAGCGUUCUGUAAGCCUGCGAAGGUGACCUGUGAGGGUUGCUGGAGGUAUCAGAAGUGCGAAUGCUGACAUAAGUAACGAUAAAGCGGGUGAAAAGCCCGCUCGCCGGAAGACCAAGGGUUCCUGUCCAACGUUAAUCGGGGCAGGGUGAGUCGACCCCUAAGGCGAGGCCGAAAGGCGUAGUCGAUGGGAAACAGGUUAAUAUUCCUGUACUUGGUGUUACUGCGAAGGGGGGACGGAGAAGGCUAUGUUAGCCGGGCGACGGUUGUC
rnacentral:rRNA from 1 species